rnacentral:lncRNA from 1 species
CCAACGUGGCAGCAAGUCACUUUGGUGACAAUGACUCUUAAGUCAUGAAACAAGGUGGCAUAAUUAGGAGAAUUGGCCAAAACAAAAACUCAUUCUUAUCAAGUGGGGNNNNNNNNNNNCNNNNNAAGUAGGGCCCACACCUCUAUUUCUAAAGAAUAGAAGCAACCUUUCUCGCUGAAUCAUAUGUGUGAACAUUUGGAUACUCUGCUGACCCAUUAAAAGAAGAAUGUUGACUUGCCUCAGUUCUCUUGUUCUAUGACUGAUGACCGACUUAAUGUGAAGCCUAUACACUUCACAUUUAGAUGUAGGUAAGUUCUGGCAAUGCAAAACGUGGUGCUCAGUUAGGUUGCACCAAUAUCUGUUUCAAGUCUUGUAUACCUAUAAUGGUUUCUUUAGUUGGGAUAUGUUCAUGGUGUGGAAAGAGAUUAUAUGCAUGUGGAUAUAAAUGUUAAUUGUUCUUAUGUUAUAAUCAAACAGGUUAAUUUUUUAGCUGUUCUGAAGUAGCAAUUUGAGGUGUUAGACAUGUAAUCUUUUCCUACCAUGUUCGAUGUGUCUGCAUAGCUUUGUUCAAUGAUAGUGGGAAAGUUGUUUGGGUCGCCUUCCUUUGUCGUUGUUCUUGCCGUCACGUGUUUUAUCGCAAUUAUCGUGUGUUAGCGGGAUUGUCCAGAGAACCGGCUCAGGUAUGUUAAGGCUAUCCCUUCUUUCUUUUGACAUGAUCCAAGUAACGAUACGUAAACGUAAUGCUAUUGCAUAAAUGGUUCUACUCUUAGCAGUUAAGGAUGUAUAUGUUAUUCAUUCCCGUAAAAUGAUAUUCAAGCAUGUCUAAGUAUGUAUCUAGUUCCUUAUUGAUGUAUUUGAUAAAGAUGUUAAUGUUUAUAAUAUAGUAAUACAUGCAUCUUCAUGCAUAUUCAUUUACCAUCGUACUACGGCCGGUCGGGCAGUCAUGCAUUUACCACCGGACUACGGCCGAUCGGGCAGUUACCACCGGUUGGGCAGUUAUAUAUUAUUAUUUAUCACCGGUUGGGCAGUCAUGUAUAUUCAUUUACCACCGAGAUACGGCCGGUCGGGAAGUCAUGCAUUUACCACCGAGCUACGACCGGUUGGGUAGUUACAUAUUUACCACCGAGAUAUGGCCGGCCGGGCAGUCAUAUAUUUACCACUGAGCUACGGCCGGUCGGGCAGUCAUACAUUUAACAAUGUGCUACGGCCGGUCGGGCAGUUACCACUGAUCAGUUGGGCAGUCACGCAUCGUACGAUAUGGAUAAUAGUCUCAAAGAGAAGCAUUGUAUAUAUGUAAGUAUAAUAAGUAUGCAUAUACGGUGACACUUCAGAGAUUCAGGUUAAUUCUUAUAUGUCUUUAAUUAAUGUUGACUUACUGUUAUGUUUUAGUUCUGCCUUACAUACUCAGUACAUUAUUCGUACUGACGUCCUUUUGUUGGGAACGCUGCAUUCAUGCCUGCAGGUAUAGAUAAUCAGUUUGACAAGCCCUCAAAGUAGACGAGAUUGGCAUUCAGCGAAGGAUCGGUAAGAUUCCACCUCAUUCGGAGUGCAGCCGAGUCUAUGAGUCAUCGUGUCAAAAUUUUACCACAGACUUAUGGGUAGGCCGGUACCCUGUUCCAUUUGAUGUCAAAUAAUCUUAGAGGCUUUGUAGACAAAGGUUCAUUUUGUACAGUAUGUCAGAGGCCUUGACGGCCCAUAUGUAUUCAUGUUUUAAGAAAAAUGAGUUAGUGAUACAGUUUUUUCUCACUUACGCUUGUACAUUAUGAGUUGUGGCCAUAUUGGCCCAUGAUAGUUAGAAAAGGAAUGAGUUCAGCCAACUCGACCUAUGUAUAUUCUAAUUUUGGGCCGAAUAAUCAUGAGUUACAGAGUGGUUCGCUCGGGCCAGCAUGGCACCGGGUGCCAGCCACGCCUCCCCAGGUUUGGGCGUGACAAAGUGGUAUCAGAGCGGGUCGUGUCCUAUGGAGUCUACAAAGCUGUGCCUAGUAGAGUCUCACUUAUGGAUGUGUUAUGCGCCACAUUUAUAAAUGAGAGGCUAUAGGGCAUUUAGGAAAUGUUACCCUUCUUUUGUUUACAGAUCGUUCAAUAGAGCUGAGUCGUAAGAAGUCAGUAUGAAGCUUACGCCAGAUUUUGUAUAUGCCAGAGGUGCAGGUAUCACAGUAGAGCUUUAAAGCGUAAUGUGGAAGGGAGGUUAUGAAAGAAACAGAAGAUAUGAUGCGAGAUUGUAAAGUAAGUAAGGUAAAUGUGAAGAAGAUACGAGAUACUCAAGUACAAAAGGUUGUGAAUAGUCGAGACUUUAGAUAUAGUUUGGGUUUUAGUUUAAUUUACAAAGGAGAUCCUAGUUAAAAUUUUGUAAAUCUCUAAGAGUUAACAAUCGAGGACGAAUGUUCUAAAGGGGGAAGGAUGUUACACCCGUAAGUUUAACAACCUUG